UGGGAGGUGCCAGGAGCUGGGAAAACCACAUGGGUUACUAAACAUGCAGCAGAAAACCCUGGUAAAUACAACAUUCUUGGAACAAACACCAUAAUGGAUAAAAUGAUGGUGGCCGGGUUUAAGAAGCAGAUGGCGCAUACAGGAAAACUGAACACCCUGUUGCAGAGAGCUCCCCAGUGUCUUGGAAAGUUUAUUGAGAUUGCUGCCCGUAAGAAGCGAAAUUUCAUUCUGGAUCAGACCAAUGUGUCUGCUGCUGCCCAGAGGAGAAAAAUGUGCCUGUUCGCAGGCUUCCAACGAAAAGCUGUUGUAGUUUGCCCGAAAGAUGAAGACUACAAGCAGAGAACACAGAAGAAAGCAGAAGUCGAGGGAAAAGACCUACCAGAACACGCAGUCCUCAAAAUGAAAGGAAACUUUACGCUGCCCGAGGUGGCUGAGUGCUUUGAUGAAAUAACCUAUGUUGAACUGCAGAAGGAGGAAGCCCAGAAACUUCUGGAGCAGUAUAAGGAAGAAAGCAAAAAAGCUCUUCCGCCAGAAAAGAAACAAAACACUGCCUCGAAGAAGAGCAAUAAAAAUAAGAGCGGCAAGAACCAGUUCAACAGAGGCGGCGGCCACAGAGGCCGCGGCGGCUUCAACAUGCGUGGUGGCAACUUCCGAGGAGGAGCUCCUGGGAACCGCGGUGGCUAUAACAGGAGGGGCAACAUGCCGCAGAGAGGCGGCGGCGGCGGCGGCAGUGGCGGGAUUGGCUAUCCGUACCCGCGUGGCCCUGUGUUUCCCAGCCGAGGCGGUUAUUCCAACAGAGGGAACUACAACAGAGGUGGAAUGCCCAACAGAGGGAACUACAACCAGAACUUCAGAGGACGAGGAAACAAUCGUGGCUACAAAAAUCAAUCUCAGGGCUACAACCAGUGGCAGCAGGGUCAAUUCUGGGGUCAGAAGCCAUGGAGUCAGCAUUAUCACCAAGGAUAUUAUUGAAUACCCAAAUAAAACGAACUGAUACAUAUUUCUCCAAAACCUUCACAAGAAGUCGACUGUUUUCUUUAGUAGGCUAACUUUUUAAACAUUCCACAAGAGGAAGUGCCUGCGGGUUCCUUUUUUAGAAGCUUUGUGGGUUGAUUUUUUUUCUUUUCUUUUUUGUACAUUUUUAAUUGCAGUUUUAAAGUGAAUCGUAAGAGAACCUCAGCAUUGUGCACGAUAAGAGAAUGUGUCAGUAUUUCAGGGUUCUACAUUUUAUCUGUAAAAUGUGACUUUUUUUUUUAUCACAACAAAAGUAAAAUGUUGC